rnacentral:piRNA from 1 species
UAAAAAGCGGGCUGAGAUGAUUAUUGUC